ACUCAAAUGAAUAGACGGGGGCCCGCACAAGCGGUGGAGCGUGUGGUUUAAUUCGAUGCUACGCGAAGAACCUUACCUGGGCUUGACAUCCCUGGAAUUCCCCUGAAAGGGGGAAGUGCUCCUUCGGGAGAGCCAGGAGACAGGUGCUGCAUGGUUGUCGUCAGCUCGUGUCGUGAGAUGUUGGAUUAAGUUCCGCAACGAGCGCAACCCUUGUCGUCUAGUUACCAGCAUUCAGUUGGGGACUCUAGCGAGACUGCCAGCAAAAACUGGAGGAAGGUGGGGAUGACGUCAAAUCAGCAUGGCCCUUACGCCCAGGGCUACACACGCGCUACAAUGGCCGGUCCAACGCGUUGCAACCCUGCAAGGGGAAGCGGAUCGCUCAAAGCCGGCCCCAGUUCGGAUUGGAGGCUGCAACCCGCCUCCAUGAAGUCGGAAUCGCUAGUAAACGCCGAUCAGCACGCGGCGUUGAAUACGUUCCCGGGCCUUGUACACACCGCCCGU
rnacentral:rRNA from 1 species